UGCGUCACGGCUGGAGCGCAACCUUUGGUGUGACACAAUCCAGUGAGGAUUACAUUGACAGGUCCUCCGGGAGCCGCGGUAAAAGUACAACCUCGAGGCAUCGCGUUCCUAGGAUCGCUAAAUAGCUAAUCUCUGAGCUCUUACUAUGUAUCAGUCACUGUGUUAAGGAGAGUGUGCUGAGAACAAAACUUCAGACAUGAAGAAAUAUUAAAAGCCUAUAUGAGGACUCUAUUCCUAAGCAGAUCCUCCUGUGACGGUGCCAAUGGAGCUGCUUUCCUGAACAGAACGUAUUUCUUUUCAUCUGCUUCAUGGCAGGACAUGGCUCAGGGCCCUUAAUUCUGAGAGGCCAUGGCUCUGUUGGCGUCCCACCCAUGCAGAGAAGUUCUUCUGAGUAGCAACAUGGCAGCUGAAGCCUAGAGUCAGCAGCCAUAUCAUGGGGAAACUCAAGCAGCCCUAUGAAGAUGUCCACAUGAGAAGGAACUCAGGCCUCUGCCAACAGCCAGCACCAGUGUGCCAGCCAUGAGAAUGAGCCAACUUGCAGUGAAUUCUCCAGUGCCACUCAAGCCUUUGAUGACUACCAGCCAAGCUGAUGUCUUAUCACAAACUCAUGAGACACCUCAAGCCAGAAUCUCCUACAUAAGCUACCCCUGGAUUCCUGACCACAGAAACUAUAUGAUAAUAACAAAUAUUUAUUGUUGUUUCAAGCAUGUAAGUUUUAUUUUGUUUUAUGCAGCAAUAGAUUAAAGCAGGCAUUAUAAAAAACAACAAUAACAUUAUAGCUACAAUAGCACUGUUUAUUGAGUAUUGUUUGUGAGUUAUGGCAAGUUACUUAGACUUGCUACACCAGAAUAUCCUUAUCUGUUAAAAAAGACUAAUUAAUAAUAUCCAUUUUUUUAGAAUGUUUAUAGCAUUAACUGGAUUAAUAGAUGUAGAUAUUUUUAAAGAAAAAAGGGAAUCAUAGCGCAUAGUAGAAACUUGAUUAAUAUAUUCCAUCAUUAUUAUUAUUUGCUGUUAUUAUUCUCACUAUUCUUUUUCAUUUCAAUUUUAACCAAUCUGCUUCUCCUGAUUUUCAAAAUUAAUUAGUAACAAAAUGAUCUAGACAAUCAAACCAUCAGAAACCUAGACAUUAUCCUUGACUGAUUGUAUUCUCAUUCUUUACAUCAAAUCAAUCAUUAUGUUCUAAUGAUUAUAUCUACUAAAUACUUUUAUACUAGUUUCUUUAAAAGAUUUUUAAAAAUUACUUAUUAAUUUUAGAGAGAGGAGAAAAAGGAGAGGGGGAAAUAUUGAGUUGUUGUUCCACUGUUGUAUAUAUGUAUUGGUUGCUUCUUUUAUGUGCCCUGUCUGGGGAUGAAACCUGCAACCUUGGCAUAUUGGGACAGUACUCUACCCAAUGGAGCUACCCAGCCAGGGCCUCAUACUAUUUUCUUUAUUCCUACUCCCACUGCCUUAAGUCAAGCUUAUAUCAAUUCCCAUCUGGACUAUUAAACAAAUUUCUAAAUUGUUUCUGCCUCUAAUCUUAUUCCACUUGAAGCUGUUUUUCACACUGCAGUGACUUGUCUACAAAACAAAUAUGAUAAAGUCAUUCCCUGGUGAAAACCUUCCACUGGCUCUCUCACAGCUUUAUAAAGUACAGUCUCCUUAGAAGGACCAAUAAGGCCUGUCAGGAUCUGGCCAUUGGCCUGGCUCUCCUCUUAUUAACACUGUGUAUCAAGUCUUAAUUCUCUUAUUUGUUGUAUAUGGUGCCUCUCUUUCAUGGUAUUGAUUUUCUUUAGGUGUUUGAUGGUCCUUGCUUUGUUUCAUUUUUUUCUUUUUCUUUCUUGUUAUUAUUUGCUGUGUGGGUUUAGAUUAAACAGCUUAUUUUCAGGUGCAAAGUAAGACUGGUCAUCUAUCAGUGGGUUCCAGUUUUAAUCACAAAAAAAAUAUUUCUGAUGAUUGCAGGUGAGAGCUGGAUCAAGGUGAAUAGUAGGGCCAUUCGUACUCUGAGACUGAAGAUAAAAUACUCUGCACAAAAAUAAAUUAUUAAAGAUCACACAGGUGCCUUUCCCACUGCAAACAGGCACUCCAUCCUGGUACAGCAAGAUCUGCAUCCCUAAACUUCUUUGGUGCUAACACUUGUCAAGGCCCAGAGAAACACUUUCCUCAUCUUGUGUCCAUGACUUAGAAACAAACAAACAAAGGCAAUCCUGUGCAAAUGACAUGAAGGUUUGAAAAUUGUGCCCUGUCAAUUUCAGAAAUAGGUAUUGUUUCAGCAGGGAGUAUUUGAGAGGCAAACACAUUAAAGAAAGAGAAAAUAUAAAUUAAUUAUUGUGCCAAAUUCUUUCUCUCAAUGAAUGCAAUAGUUUCUUGCAUAAUGAAGGAUUCUUUUCUAAGAGAGCUGAGCAUCUAUUUCUUGCUUGCCUUUGUGGAUCUGGAGACUCCCUUGAAUUAGCUCACUGUUUGAAACAAUUGUAUAUGACAGCUGAAUAAAAUUUUGCAAUAUCAAAUAAUUCAUGUUAAUCUUAAAUUUACACAUAACUGAUAUGUAGGAUAAUGCUAAUUCUAAAGGCAACUGGACAGACAAUUAAAAUU